rnacentral:rRNA from 1 species
GGNNCGAGWNUNCUGAACCAGCCAAGUAGCGUGAAGGAUGACUGCCCUAUGGGUUGUAAACUUCUUUUAUACGGGAAUAAAGUGAGGCACGUGUGCCUUUUUGUAUGUACCGUAUGAAUAAGGAUCGGCUAACUCCGUGCCAGCAGCCGCGGUAAUACGGAGGAWMMNARNGUUAUCCGGAUUUAUUGGGUUUAAAGGGAGCGUAGGCGGACGCUUAAGUCAGUUGUGAAAGUUUGCGGCUCAACCGUAAAAUUGCAGUUGAUACUGGGUGUCUUGAGUACANUNNAGGCAGGCGGAAUUCGUGGUGUAGCGGUGAAAUGCUUAGAUAUCACGAAGAACUCC